UGCAGGACAACACAGAGCAGACACGCUAUUACGGUCAUCACUAAAGAUCUGUACACCGUUAAGAAAGUCUAUAUAUUCUACUCAUUAUAAAUGUUGUGGAAGGAUGUGGUUAUUGUACUGAUUGUCUAUUCUUUGUAGUCAACUGCUAACAUUUUGAUAUUGGUAAUCCCGUCCCCAGGCAGCUCUGCAGUAGCAAACAAUUGAGCCUGGGGAUGAGGUUAGGAUAUGGGUAAACUGAGCCUGGGGAUGAGGUUAGGAUAUGGGUAAACUGAGCCUGGGGAUGAGGUUAGGAUAUGGGUAAACUGAGCCUAAGGAUGAGGUUAGGAUAUGGGUAAACUGAGCCUGGGGAUGAGGUUAGGAUAUGGGUAAACUGAGCCUGGGGAUGAGGUUAGGAUAUGGGUAAACUGAGCCUGGGGAUGAGGUUAGGAUAUGGGUAAACUGAGUCUGGGGAUGAGGUUAUGAUAUGGGUAAACUGAGCCUGGGGAUGAGGUUAGGAUAUGGGUAAACUGAGCCUAGGGAUGAGGUUAGGAUAUGGGUAAACUGAGCCUGGGGAUGAGGUUAGGAUAUGGAUAAACUGAGCCUGGGGAUGAGGUUAGGAUAUGGGUAAACUGAGCCUGGGGAUGAGGUUAGGAUAUGGGUAAACAGAGUCUGGGGAUGAGGUUAUGAUAUGGGUAAACUGAGCCUGGGGAUGAGGUUAGGAUAUGGGUAAACAGAGUCUGGGGAUGAGGUUAGGAUAUGGGUAAACAGAGUCUGGGGAUGAGGUUAGGAUAUGGGUAAACAGAGUCUGGGGAUGAGGUUAUGAUAUGGGUAAACUGAGCCUGGGGAUGAGGUUAGGAUAUGGGUAAACAGAGUCUGGGGAUGAGGUUAGGAUAUGGGUAAACAGAGUCUGGGGAUGAGGUUAUGAUAUGGGUAAACUGAGCCUGGGGAUGAGGUUAGGAUAUGGGUAAACAGAGUCUGGGGAUGAGGUUAUGAUAUGGGUAAACUGAGCCUGGGGAUGAGGUUAGGAUAUGGGUAAACAGAGUCUGGGGAUGAGGUUAUGAUAUGGGUAAACUGAGCCUGGGGAUGAGGUUAGGAUAUGGGUAAACAGAGUCUGGGGAUGAGGUUAGGAUAUGGGUAAACAGAGUCUGGGGAUGAGGUUAUGAUAUGGGUAAACUGAGCCUGGGGAUGAGGUUAGGAUAUGGGUAAACAGAGUCUGGGGAUGAGGUUAUGAUAUGGGUAAACUGAGCCUGGGGAUGAGGUUAGGAUAUGGGUAAACAGAGUCUGGGGAUGAGGUUAUGAUAUGGGUAAACUGAGCCUGGGGAUGAGGUUAGGAUAUGGGUAAACAGAGUCUGGGGAUGAGGUUAUGAUAUGGGUAAACAGAGUCUGGGGAUGAGGUUAGGAUAUGGAUAAACAGAGUCUGGGGAUGAGGUUAUGAUAUGGGUAAACUGAAACAAGAAUGAACGCUUUCUACUGUAUCUAAACGAGCAUUCAGAAGAUCAUGACCAAGAAACAAAAACAGGCGUAUUACCAAGAAAAUGAAAACCUCCCAAAUGAUAGAGGCUGUUCUUUUCUUUGGACACACAAAUAGAUUAUGUUUGGUCUGGCACAGUAGCCAGAACUACAACCAUCAUCCCUUUCUGUUCAUUGCCACAAAGCACAGCACACACACACACACAGAGAUGGAUGGAUGUGUGGGUAUUGUGAAUUGUGAAGUCAUGCCAUGGA